rnacentral:sRNA from 1 species
AUGAUAGUUAACAACUACCCUGCUCUUCCUCACGUUAAAGGCUUGAAAAGUAUUAAGCUUGUUUUCUUGCCACCUAAUACAACCAGUAAGAUACAACCCUGGGACCAAGGUAUCAUUCAGAAUCUGAAAGUUCACUACCGCAAAAGAGUCCUAAUGAAACAGAUAGCAUGUGCCGAGAGAAAAACAGAGUUCAGUCUAACUGUCCUAGAUGCACUCCGAUUUCUUCACCGAGCUUGGUUCUCAGUCACAGCCACCACAAUAAGCAACUGCUUUAGACAUGCAUGUUUCAGUGUUGACAUUGAGUCCGGAGUAAGUGACCAACAAGAAGAAGAAGAUGACGACGAUGAUAUUCCACUAGCCCAUCUUGCAGGAAUUCAUUUCACAGAAUACUCUGUACUUUUAUUAGCUGAUUUCGGCUGUUAA